GUUAAAAGUAAAUGACCUGUGACAGUAAAGAUAGGCAAUAUUGCAGUGAUUUAGUUUCCUGUCAUUAGCAGAGCUCUGAGACUCAAUCAAGCUAUAAUCAUCUUCUAAUACAGCAGAUUUUUUUAAAGCAGAAGUUAUGAUGGAGUAUUUGAUCUUUUGUGUAAACUGAGGUGCAGUAGUUCUGUUCAUACUAAUAAAUGAAACCUAAAUAUUAACUACUGAGGGUUUCAGCUUUCAUUGAAACCACUCUGAAUGAUGAACAAUCCAAAAUAAGCUAAAACAUAUCUCUCUUACGGACUUUGUUUUGCAGUUUGAUAAACUAACAAAGCAGUGCAAAUUAAACAACAGAGAUGGAUUCCAGUGAAUGAUUAUCUCUUCCAUUUGACAUUCAGUCUACUUCUAAAGCACCAACAUAGAGUACAACAAUGUAGGGUACAUGGAGGUGGAGAUACACAAGGCUAACUUGACAGGCUGGAUGGGCUGACAAGUGUUUUGUUAUUUUCUCUAAGAAUUUGCAUUUCUCCUGUGUGAUUUUCAUUCACUUUUACAUUCACAUUAGCAAUCACCAGUAAACCCUACAUACUUAUAGGACUUCCUCUCUUUGUAAAAGUAAUGUCACUUGCUGUUCCUGAUCCAGAAAAAGAAACUAUAAGAAACUAAAGGAGAACUAUAUGCUGUUUAUAUGUAUACUUAUUCCUCAGUUUUCACUCACAAUUAUUAUUCUAAUACCAUCCUCAGCCUCGUACUUGCCUCUGCAAAAUUUACAAUUUUGUGUGUUUCUAUCUAUAAUUGGCUCCAUUUUAGUAGAGUGUCUUCAGGAAUACCCUUUACCCCCUCCACCUAGUGUUGCCAAGUUGUAAUCCUCACACCCAAGACAUCAAUCUCAGACCAGCUCCUUACUUGACUUUUGAAUACUUCAGAAUGAUUCCUGGACUUUACAGUCUGACCGUGCAUCUUCCUGUGGGAAACUUUCACCCCCACCCUACCAGUGUCCCCGCGUGUCUUUGACUGGAACAGCCUGCUCUUGCCAGGCAGCUAUCAGUGUAUUAAUAGGUGUUUUGGCUGCUACUUUGGUCCCAACCCCCACAUCGCUCUUCAGUCAUCCCCCCUUUCAUAACACAACAAACAUGUACUUAUUUUAGGCUCAGUGGGAGAUAACUGACACGUCAGGGUUGCAUACUAAUAGGUGCAGGGGUGCCAAAGUUUUCCUAGCAUUUUGCACAAUAGGAAAUAAUAGGACUCCAAUUGUUGAAAUUGGGGAUUUAAAUACAAUACAAAAAUAUUAAGCUAUAAAACUAUAAAAAAAAUCUUUCUUGUUGCUCCUUUAAGGGAUUCGAGACUGCUUUAACGACCAUCUUGUUGAUGAACAUUUUGAAUUGCAUUGGAUUGAAUUACAAGAGGAAACGUGUGAGGUUUUUGUGACAAAUCGAGAAAUCAAGAUUAAGACAGAGCAAGACAUAGUUUGCUUAUUCUAAGGGGGAAACUAAGCAAAGACCGGAGUGAGAUAAAAUGAGAAAUGGGAUGAAAAAAAGAAUCAGAGUCGAUGCUUUGGUGGUGAUUGUGGUGUCAGGCUGACCAUGUCUGAGAACUGUGUCAGGGUGUGCUGGCUCCCACACUGAUUGAUAGGUUUGGGAGACUGCUAAGGCUGGCAUGGUUACUGUUGUGUUGGUGCUGAUCAUCUUCUCUCUCACCGUAGCCUACGCGCAUCAGCAGUCAGCUGUCUGGUGGGAGAGCUUGCAUUGGGUUGAGUAUGUGGGGGUGAUUCUAUCAUGGUUUGAUCAUCGUGUCUAGGGAGCAAUGCCUCUAUUUUAUCUUCUGCACUGCCUGUGCUGCUUUUAUAGCCCCAGAGACAAAAAUUACAAAAAAGACACCAACUGGCAUAGCUCCAAGCUGAAGGAGCUAUUUUUGGGUCAAGCUAUGGGAAAAUAACCAAGUCCGUAAUCACUCAUACAGCUUGGUUGCUGUAAAUCCUGGUGCUGCUGGUGUGUUGGCUCUAGUAAGUGAUUUGCAGGAUCAGACAGUGUUAAGAGCCCACUUUCCAAAGAACUUAAGGACAGAAAUGCUGGAUUCUUAACACACACUGGGGACAGAAGAUGUGUGCUCAUUCAUAGUGGAAAAGUGGUACAGAGCUCCAGAACCAAAUGAGGGAACCUCCUUGUGGUCACUGCAUAAAAGGAUCUUGUGUGUUGACUGGUUUUGGCUCUCUGUGCUACAUACUUUUUUCAAGUGUGUUGCAUUUCACAGUAGCUUAUUCCAUAUUUUCAAUAUUAACAUUGAAUCAAUUGAAUUGAAUCGAUGUGUAUAAUGUUAAAUGUGUUGAACCUACAGAAAAUGAUAACACAACUCUGAAGGUCUAAGGUGGUUUUUAACCUCUCUUAGCUAAUUGUUUUGUUUUUGCAGCACAUUCAAUGUAUGUGUGUGUCAUGGUGAGCCGCGGGCCCCCCCCCCCGGUCCUUGUGUGCUUCAGUGCACCUGUCUUUCCUUGUGUUUCUUGGCUGUCCCCUGUCCGUCUUUGUGUGUGCGUGUGGGUGUGUCUGUGUUCUGGUCUGGCUUCCCGGUCUCCUGUCUGCUGCUGAUCACCGGCACACCUGGCUUCAAUCUUCGCUGAUCUACACAGUAUAUAUACCAGGCACUUCCACACUGCCGACGCCAUAUCGUACUCCCCGUACAUGUACCCGCUCACUGCCGCUGAUCACCGCUUCAGUCUACCUUUGGGUCAUCUGGAUAUUAGUAACACGCCAACCACUAAGAUGCCCUCGCCAUCCGGUCAACCUUGCCACCUGAGACAACAGCCUCCCCGAGCUACACGCCAGACUUCGCUGACCCUCCGCUUAGCCGGCCCAGUCCAUCCCACCACACUCGCCAGCCCAGAACCAGCGCACCUCAUUUCCGACUCGGCCUGGCCGAGUCCCCGAGGCGGCCACGAACUACGCCGAAUACUUAGUUUCACUACUACUAUCUGCCCAAUAAAGACUGUUUUCGACUUAC